rnacentral:rRNA from 1 species
UACGGAGGGUGCAAACGUUGCUCGGAAUCAUUGGGCGUAAAGCGCGUGUAGGCGGCACGCUAAGUCGAGUGUGAAAGCCCUGGGCUCAACCCAGGAAGUGCGCUCGAAACUGGCGAGCUAGAGUACGGGAGAGGGCAGUGGAAUUCCCGGUGUAGAGGUGAAAUUCGUAGAUAUCGGGAGGAACACCAGUGGCGAAGGCGGCUGCCUGGACCGAUACUGACGCUGAGACGCGAAAGCGUGGGUAGCAAACAGG